CAAGUCGAACGAACUCUGGUAUUGAUUGGUGCUUGCAUCAUGAUUUACAUUUGAGUGAGUGGCGAACUGGUGAGUAACACGUGGGAAACCUGCCCAGAAGCGGGGGAUAACACCUGGAAACAGAUGCUAAUACCGCAUAACAACUUGGACCGCAUGGUCCGAGCUUGAAAGAUGGCUUYGGCUAUCACUUUUGGAUGGUCCCGCGGCGUAUUAGCUAGAUGGUGGGGUAACGGCUCACCAUGGCAAUGAUACGUAGCCGACCUGAGAGGGUAAUCGGCCACAUUGGGACUGAGACACGGCCCAAACUCCUACGGGAGGCAGCAGUAGGGAAUCUUCCACAAUGGACGAAAGUCUGAUGGAGCAACGCCGCGUGAGUGAAGAAGGGUUUCGGCUCGUAAAACUCUGUUGUUAAAGAAGAACAUAUCUGAGAGUAACUGUUCAGGUAUUGACGGUAUUUAACCAGAAAGCCACGGCUAACUACGUGCCAGCAGCCGCGGUAAUACGUAGGUGGCAAGCGUUGUCCGGAUUUAUUGGGCGUAAAGCGAGCGCAGGCGGUUUUUUAAGUCUGAUGUGAAAGCCUUCGGCUCAACCGAAGAAGUGCAUCGGAAACUGGGAAACUUGAGUGCAGAAGAGGACAGUGGAACUCCAUGUGUAGCGGUGAAAUGCGUAGAUAUAUGGAAGAACACCAGUGGCGAAGGCGGCUGUCUGGUCUGUAACUGACGCUGAGGCUCGAAAGUAUGGGUAGCAAACAGGAUUAGAUACCCUGGUAGUCCAUACCGUAAACGAUGAAUGCUAAGUGUUGGAGGGUUUCCGCCCUUCAGUGCUGCAGCUAACGCAUUAAGCAUUCCGCCUGGGGAGUACGGCCGCAAGGCUGAAACUCAAAGGAAUUGACGGGGGCCCGCACAAGCGGUGGAGCAUGUGGUUUAAUUCGAAGCUACGCGAAGAACCUUACCAGGUCUUGACAUACUAUGCAAAUCUAAGAGAUUAGACGUUCCCUUCGGGGACAUGGAUACAGGUGGUGCAUGGUUGUCGUCAGCUCGUGUCGUGAGAUGUUGGGUUAAGUCCCGCAACGAGCGCAACCCUUAUUAUCAGUUGCCAGCAUUAAGUUGGGCACUCUGGUGAGACUGCCGGUGACAAACCGGAGGAAGGUGGGGAUGACGUCAAAUCAUCAUGCCCCUUAUGACCUGGGCUACACACGUGCUACAAUGGAUGGUACAACGAGUUGCGAACUCGCGAGAGUAAGCUAAUCUCUUAAAGCCAUUCUCAGUUCGGAUUGUAGGCUGCAACUCGCCUACAUGAAGUCGGAAUCGCUAGUAAUCGCGGAUCAGCAUGCCGCGGUGAAUACGUUCCCGGGCCUUGUACACACCGCCCGUCACACCAUGAGAGUUUGUAACACCCAAAGUCGGUGGGGUAACCUUUUAGGAACCAGCCGCCUAA
rnacentral:rRNA from 1 species